rnacentral:rRNA from 1 species
AGAAUCAACGCUGGCGGCGUGCCUAACACAUGCAAGUCGAACGAGAAAGUGGAGCAAUCCAUGAGUAAAGUGGCGACCGGGUGAGUAACACGUGACUAACCUACCUUCGAGUGGGGGAUAACAUCGGGAAACCGAUGCUAAUACCGCAUAACAUCGCAAGAUCAAAGCAGUAAUGCGCUUGAAGAGGGGGUCGCGGCUGAUUAGCUAGUUGGCGGGUAACGCCCACCAAGGCGAAGAUCGGUAGCCGGCCUGAGAGGGCGCACGGCCACACUGGAACUGAAACACGGUCCAGACUCCUACGGGAGGCAGCAGUGGGGAAUUUUGCGCAAUGGGGGAAACCCUGACGCAGCAACGCCGCGUGGAGGAUGAAGCCCCUUGGGGCGUAAACUCCUUUCGACCAAGACGAUAAUGACGGUACUGGUGGAAGAAGCACCGGCUAACUCUGCGCCAGCAGCCGC